rnacentral:rRNA from 1 species
UACGGAGGGUGCAAGCGUUAUCCGGAUUCACUGGGUUUAAAGGGUGCGUAGGCGGACAGGUAAGUCCGUGGUGAAAUCUCUGAGCUUAACUCAGAAACUGCCAUGGAUACUAUUUGUCUUGAAUAUUGUGGAGGUAAGCGGAAUAUGUCAUGUAGCGGUGAAAUGCUUAGAUAUGACGUAGAACACCAAUUGCGAAGGCAGCUGGCUACACGAAUAUUGACACUCAGGCACGAAAGCGUGGGGAUCAAACAGG